UAUUCAAGUAGAGUUUUACAAGUGCUUUUGAAUCGUCAAAACAAUUUGCCACUGGUUCGGAAUGCCGUUCCUACCGAGAAGAACCAGCAAGAAACUCGGCAGUUGCUCUAUUCAACUGUUCAAUUUACCAUACUUCUAGGUUGGUUUGUACUUGCCUAGAUAGCUAUUCACUCUUGCCUUGAAGGUGUUUAGGUUAUAUGUGGCAAGAAACACGGAAGCCGGAAGGGCAUUUCACACUUUAGCGCUUCAUAUUAGGAAAGUUGAGCAAAAACUAACCUCGAUUGCGGUCGAAUGACAGUUAUAAUAUCAUGAUCGUAGUCACUUCUGAUUGGUUGGCGCUCACUCACUAUUGGCUAAAAUGUAUUGUUGCAACAAGAAUAUCAUUUUAGGCAAUAACUGCAAUUGCGAUUGUAAUAAUGAUUGAUGCAGGUGUUAAGGAAUCGAGCUACUGAUAUAUACUGGAUAUUUCUUUUGCGUUGACAUGUCAUUUUACCGUAAUCGCCUGGUAUCAGUUUUUUUUCAAAAUAUCUCAAAUUUUGACUCGUUUGGGUUGGGAUGUUUUUCAGACAAUAUGUUCAAUUUACUUUUAGAUUGUUUACAUUUGGGACUGAAAUCGGUGUUGAUGUUUUAACUGAAAAUAUAUGAGCCGCGGGUAUGUAUUUACUCCUUUUUAUACAAAGGAGGACAUGAGUAAAAACGUAGUUGUAUAACUCGUGCCAAUAAAGAAUCGAAAAUGGCGGUUAAUCGUUUCCUCUCGCUUACACACUAAACCUGUCUUUAGUGUAUGAGGGAGACGGAAUGAUUAGUGCUGCUUCGUUUCUAAUCGGUUUCGUACUGGCACGACACCUAUGAAAAGCUCGCUAUUUGUUUUUAAAUAACGUUAUAUUGAAUAAUAUAUCCUUUGAUAAACGUUAACGACACAACCGUUUGAAAUAACGUUUAUAUUCUAGAAGAGCGUUUCUAUUUAAAUAAUGUUUACUGAAAAAACGAUUCAUGUUAAAAUACGUUACGUUUAAAAUAUUACACAGUUCACCUUAAAACGUUAUUCCUAGUCAAAUAUUUUACCAAAAUGAUUAUGUUUAGGAUAUGUUUAUUAGUGGUUAAGUAGGUAAAUUUGUGAUGUUAUCUUUUACACUAUUUUGCAAAGCAGCGGAGACCAAACGAUCAAAUAUCUAUAACACAAAACCAACUAGGUAUAUCAGAGCAAAUAAUUUUGAUAUUUUGAAACCACUUGAUAUUUCACGCAAAUAAAUAGUGAUCGCAAAACAAGGAGUCCAAUCUGAAGUUACUAAAUGGCUACUUUUACCCACUUUACACCCACUUAGGGUGCAAUUUUUCAAAUAUUGCAUUACUCUGCUGCUUUGUCGUACUAUUUAUUAUUGUUUAUAUUCGUCCUAUUAUGUGCUGUAAAUAUAAGUUUAAAGUUUUACUAUUUUUAAAUUCAAAGUGAUUUAUAAAUGUUGCCAUAUAUGUUAAUUUUAAAAAUGCAUGCUUACAAUACAUUUUUUGUUGUGAAUAAAUACCUAUUAUUUAAAUUAUUAUGUGUUGUGUAUAUUAUAUAAUCUGUGUAAAAAUAUUGAUUUUAUUGAUGUAUUAGUCGGAAAUAUAUUUAUAACACAAAACACACUAAAAACACCUGACGCGUGUGUUGAUGACUAUGUAUGUAACAUGCAGUCAUCUGGGGGUAUUAUAAGUAUUUUUCUGUUCUUAAUGUUGUGUUAUUUGGUGUUACAUGCUGGACUGUUGUUUAUUGUAUUAAAAUAAAAUCAUUGAUUGAUCAAUGAUUAACCAUUGAUCAAAAUCAAUGGUUAAACCAUACUUUGAAAUUUUUACAACCUUACAAACCUGAAACCUCUAUACUCUCUUGUCUAUAGAAAUUGUGUAUUACAUUUUCAACCUUGGGAUGUUGCCUAUGUCAAAAAUAAAAUGUCAUUAGUAUUAUUAAAUAGAGGGUCUUCCAAAAUACGUAAACUCCACGUCCUGUUAGUUUUAAAUUAAACUAAAAAAAUAAUGUCAAAUGUUUAUGACGUCACAUUUCACUAUUUGCCAUAGUAAUCGCGCGUUUUGACAUUUGCUAUGCUGAUUUGUGGAGUAAGCAACAUCCCUAUACAAAUGUAAGAAAAAGACAAAUCUAUAUCAAUAAAAUAUAAAGUUAUGUAACCUCUGAAUGUAUAUGGGCUCAUAAAGAAAAGCCAAAAAUGUCUUUAGCCCUUUUCUUAUUCAAACAACUAUAAUCUAUCUAGAAAGGGACAGAAUAUUAAUAAAGGACAGUCUCUCGGUUACGCAAUAGUUGUUCGAAAUGGAAGUUCCACCUGUGUUUUUCAAUGAAAUAGGAUAGGAAAUGUAUGUUAUUUGUUGUCUUUUCACAGGUUGCGCCUAAUUUCUAGAAUACUCUGAAAACGAGGCAGCCUUUGACUGUCCCAAAUUAAAAUAAGCUUGCCUGACGUUUUUUAAUUACAUCUGUAAAAAUUUAAAGGAUUUGCGCCUGAAUCGGCACCAUUUCCAGGCUUCAUUGCACUUGUUCGAACUUCAGACAGUACUAGAAGUUUGGCGCGAUGUUUAAUUUUAGUACUAUUACCACAAUGUUGGGUGUCUGUAUAUGGGUUGUUGAAAGAGCUUCACAUCUUUUCGUAUUAAAUAUAAUUGUUUAUAUAUUUUAUUUCUACUUUUAAGAGACACUUAUAUCCAAUUUCUCUAACUCUAUUCCAGUAUCAAUUUGUACAAUAAAUUAUUAAAAUUUGUUCUUCGA